CCUACGGGAGGCAGCAGUGAGGAAUAUUGGUCAAUGGACGAAAGCCUGAACCAGCCACGCCGCGUGAAGGAUGACGGCCCUAGGGUUUUAAACCUUUUUUUAUAGAGAAAUACAGCGAGUCACGUAUGCCUUUUUGCAUGUACUUUAUCAAUAAGGAUCGGCUAACUACGUUCCGUCACCCGCGGUAAGACGGAGGAUCCGAGCGUGUUCUGGAUUGAUUGUGUUUGAAGUGAGCGUAGAUGGGUGGUUAAGUCAGUUGUGAAAGCUUGCGGCUCAACCGGAAAAGUGCAAUGGAUACUGGCAGUCUUGAGUACAGUUGAGGGAGGCGGAAUUCGUGGUGUAGCGGUGAAAUGCUUAGAUAUCAGGAAGAACACCGAUUGCGAAGGCAGCUUACUAAACUGUGACUGACAUUGAUGCGCGAAAGUGUGGGUAUCAAACAGGAUUAGAUACCCUAGUAGUC
rnacentral:rRNA from 1 species